rnacentral:rRNA from 1 species
GAUGAACGCUGGCGGCGUGCCUAAUACAUGCAAGUCGAGCGAACAGACGAGGAGCUUGCUCCUCUGACGUUAGCGGCGGACGGGUGAGUAACACGUGGAUAACCUACCUAUAAGACUGGGAUAACUUCGGGAAACCGGAGCUAAUACCGGAUAAUAUAUUGAACCGCAUGGUUCAAUAGUGAAAGACGGUUUUGCUGUCACUUAUAGAUGGAUCCGCGCCGCAUUAGCUAGUUGGUAAGGUAACGGCUUACCAAGGCAACGAUGCGUAGCCGACCUGAGAGGGUGAUCGGCCACACUGGAACUGAGACACGGUCCAGACUCCUACGGGAGGCAGCAGUAGGGAAUCUUCCGCAAUGGGCGAAAGCCUGACGGAGCAACGCCGCGUGAGUGAUGAAGGUCUUCGGAUCAUAAAACUCCGUUAUUAGGGAAGAACAAAUGUGUAAGUAACUAUGCACGUCUUGACGGUACCUAAUCAGAAAGCCACGGCUAACUACGUG